GCCUGUUUCAAGUCAUCUCCCCUUCAGAAAGAUGUCCUGAGCAAGCAUCCAAGAAGCUCUCACUGCGGUCUUUAUCUGCUCUGUCACCCGACAGGGCGAACAGCAGAAGGGGCAGACGUACAAGUGGGGAGCUACUUGCUGCAGUCAGUAGUGCCUGCAGUCAGAGGGAAAGGCUGAUUUCUUUGGCUCCCAGACAGCACCAGACUGGUGCUCUGAAGUUGGUGCGUGAUGCAGAACCACAAGACGGAACAAGGAAGAGACAGCAAGCUCCAAGUUUGAAAACCUUGAUUUGCCAUUUUGGAAUACAUUAUUUCAGGUUUUUCCAGGGAUCACAAAACAAAAUGGAGAAGACUUACUUCUUUCCAUGCUUAUCACAUAACUUAUUUUGGAGAUUGAUGCUUUCUUCUGUGCCCCAUCCUUGAGCGACUUCCAGGCCAUGGCUGCGUGUCUUGUGCUCGUCCUGGCUGCGCUGGCCAUCGUCCCACACCCGCUCAAGGUCAGUGACCAGAC